GAAGCUGACCAGACAGUCGCCGCUUCGUCGUCGUCCUGAAAGGGAGACGGGCGGAGGGGAGGAAAGUCCGGGCUCCAUAGGGCAGGGUGCCAGGUAACGCCUGGGGGGCGCAAGCCUACGACCAGUGCAACAGAGAGCAAACCGCCGAUGGCCCGUAAGGGAUCAGGUAAGGGUGAAAGGGUGCGGUAAGAGCGCACCGCGCGGCUGGCAACAGUCCGUGGCACGGUAAACUCCACCCGGAGCAAGGCCAAAUAGGGGUUCACAUGGUACGGCCCGUACUGAACCCGGGUAGGCUGCUUGAGCCAGUGAGCGAUUGCUGGCCUAGAGGAAUGACUGUCCACGACAGAACCCGGCUUACCGGUCAGCUUCACCU
rnacentral:RNase_P_RNA from 2 species